UAUGAUUUUUAUAGUUUAAAAAAAUGGUUUUGAACUAAAUUAAAAUACAACAACUUUACAUUAUUAACAAAAUGAACAUAUGAGUGUAAUAAACAUAAAAAAGAUAUUAAUCAACAUACUAAAAGAAUAAAAAAAUGCUAAAAGAAAAAUAAUAUAACUAAGAGAAAUAAAAAUGCCAAAAAAUGCCACACAUGAGUGUUGAACCCACCCCACUCAAGAAUAUGCACACUGCCCUUCUCCACCAGACCACUCAGGGUUAUCUACUACUAAGACACUACAUUAAAUAUAUGAACCGGGCUAAAAAACAAAAAAAUAAAUAACAUAUAAACAUUUUAUAUUUCUCUUUAUCUCUGUUAAGACUCAGUAAAAUAAACUAAAAAAUAAAAAUAAAAAAAAAUAAAAAUAAAAAAUUAAAUUAAAAAAGAAAAGAAAGAAAAUAAAUGAAAACGAAAGAAAAACAACAGAGGUUCGUCUUCCUCCCUCCCUCUCGCAUCUCACCAGAAAAAACCACUCAAUCGCUCUCUCGCCCAUGUCGCUCAACCUCA
rnacentral:lncRNA from 1 species